rnacentral:rRNA from 1 species
GAUGAACGCUGGCGGCGUGCCUAAUACAUGCAAGUCGAGCGAACAGACGAGGAGCUUGCUUCUCUGACGUUAGCGGCGGACGGGUGAGUAACACGUGGAUAACCUACCUAUAAGACUGGGAUAACUUCGGGAAACCGGAGCUAAUACCGGAUAAUAUAUUUAACCGCAUGGUUCAAUAGUGAAAGACGGUUUUGCUGUCACUUAUAGAUGGAUCCGCGCCGCAUUAGCUAGUUGGUAAGGUAACGGCUUACCAAGGCAACGAUGCGUAGCCGACCUGAGAGGGUGAUCGGCCACACUGGAACUGAGACACGGUCCAGACUCCUACGGGAGGCAGCAGUAGGGAAUCUUCCGCAAUGGGCGAAAGCCUGACGGAGCAACGCCGCGUGAGUGAUGAAGGUCUUCGGAUCGUAAAACUCUGUUAUUAGGGAAGAACAAAUGUGUAAGUAACUAUGCACGUCUUGACGGUACCUAAUCAGAAAGCCACGGCUAACUACGUG